AGGACGAACGCUGGCGGCGUGCUUAACACAUGCAAGUCGAGCGGUAAGGCCUCCUUCGGGGGUACACGAGCGGCGAACGGGUGAGUAACACGUGGGUGACCUGCCCUCAGCUCUGGGAUAAGCCUGGGAAACUGGGUCUAAUACUGGAUAUGACUGCGCAUCGCAUGGUGUGUGGUGGAAAGUUUUUUCGGCUGGGGAUGGGCCCGCGGCCUAUCAGCUUGUUGGUGGGGUGAUGGCCUACCAAGGCGACGACGGGUA
rnacentral:rRNA from 1 species